rnacentral:rRNA from 1 species
GUGAUAGCCCCGUACACGAAAUCCGACUUACAGGACUAAGCUUGCGACAAGUAGGGCGGGACACGUGGAAUCCUGUCUGAAGAUGGGGGGACCAUCCUCCAAGGCUAAAUACUCGUAAUCGACCGAUAGUGAACCAGUACCGUGAGGGAAAGGCGAAAAGAACCCCGGGAGGGGAGUGAAACAGAACCUGAAACCGUGUGCAUACAAACAGUAGGAGCCCGUGCAUGCAUGGGUGACUGCGUACCUUUUGCAUAAUGGGUCAGCGACUUACAUUCAGUGGCGAGGUUAACCGAAUAGGGGAGCCGAAGAGAAAUCGAGUCCGAACAGGGCGCCAGUCGCUGGGUGUAGACCCGAAACCAAGUGAUCUACUCAUGGCCAGGAUGAAGGUGCGGUAACACGCACUGGAGGUCCGAACCCACUAACGUUGAAAAGUUAGGGGAUGAGCUGUGGGUAGGGGUGAAAGGCUAAACAAACUUGGAGAUAGCUGGUUCUCUCCGAAAGCUAUUUAGGUAGUGCCUCAGGUAUCACCACUAGGGGUAGAGCACUGUUAUGGCUAGGGGGUCAUCGCGACUUACCAAACCAUUGCAAACUCCGAAUACUAGUGAGUGCGAGCCUGGGAGACAGACACCGGGUGCUAACGUCCGAUGUCAAGAGGGAAACAACCCAGACCGCCAGCUAAGGUCCCAAAGAUUGGCUAAGUGGAAAACGAAGUGGGAAGGCUAAAACAGUCAGGAGGUUGGCUUAGAAGCAGCCAUCCUUUAAAGAGUGCGUAAUAGCUCACUAGUCGAGUAUCUCUGCGCCGAAAAUGUACCGGGGCUAAACAUAUUACCGAAACUGUGGAUUUAUGCGAUAGCAUAAGUGGUAGGGGAGCGUUCUAAGGGCGACGAAGAUAGAUCGAGAGGACUAUUGGAGCGCUUAGAAGUGAGAAUGCCGGUGUGAGUAACGAAAAUUGGGUGAGAAUCCCAUUCACCGUUUGACUAAGGGUUCCUGGGUAAAGUUCGUCUUCCCAGGGUAAGUCAGGACCUAAGAUGAGGCUGAAAAGCGUAGUCGAUGGACAACAGGUUGAUAUUCCUGUACCACCUAUAUGACUGAAGGAGUGACGGAGAAAGCUAACGAGGGCCAGUUAAUGGAUUCUGGUCUAAGUGCGUAGGCUAGUAUGUUGGCAAAUCCGCAAUACUAUAAUAGCUGAAACAUGAUGGGGAAGUAAGUCUUCGGACGAGCGAACUCUCGUGAUGCUAUGCUUCCAAGAAAAGCUUCUAGGGCUAAUUGUAUAGGUGCCUGUACCGACAACCGACACAGGUGGUCAAGGAGAGUAUCCUAAGGUGAGCGAGAGAACUAUGGUUAAGGAACUCGGCAAAAUGACCCCGUAACUUCGGGAGAAGGGGUGGUCUAGCGAUAGACCCGCAGUGAAUAGGCCCAGGCAACUGUUUACCAAAAACACAGGUCUCUGCUAACACGAAAGUGGAUGUAUAGGGGCUGACGCCUGCCCAGUGCUGGAAGGUUAAAGAGAUUAGUUAGUAUGACGUAAGUCGAUAAUACGAAGCUUUGAACUGAAGCCCCAGUGAACGGCGGCCGUAACUAUAACGGUCCUAAGGUAGCGAAAUUCCUUGUCAGGUAAGUUCUGACCCG